GACUGCCAGGCGGGCCUGAACUUUGCAGAUGAGGCAGAGGCAGAGAGGUUCUGUGCAGCCGUGGAGAGACAGAUUCAACAAGCCCCAGACAGAGCUAGCGUGCAGCUGAACCGUACUGACUCCUCCUCAGGCUGUGUCUGUGAACAGGAACAGAGCAGAUCUGAGAUCAGCACUCCAUCUCCAUAUGUGUCAGAACAGGAGUCCCAGGUGGCAGUGGACCCAGAACAAGGCCUCAGUGUGAGCACAACACCGACACCACUGUUGUUUUAUCA